rnacentral:tRNA from 1 species
GGGGGCUUAGCUUGGAUGGUAGAGCACUCGCUUAGCAUGCGAGGGGUAUGGGGAUCGAUACCCCGCGCCUCCA